GCUCCGGCUAAUCGGAAUCGUUUGUCAUUUGUUUUCGGUUGAGCAACGGGAGUCAGUUUUGGUGCAAGUGAGUGUGUUUUUUCGGGGAAAACCCUGUUUUUUUUUGCAUAAAUGGAGACUGUGAAUUAGAGCCUGGAAGGAGCGUCCGGUAUCUUAAUUAAUGGGUGCCUUUGCCAGAUAAUGUGUACGUUUAAUAAGACGAAAGACUCACCUGCUUGAAGAUCGGGCUGCUACAGCUACGACCUGGUGCUCUUCCUUCGGCAGCCCCUUCAAGGCAGUGACGAAAUCAUUAGCAAUUAAGCCAGAAGAAGCAAUUCCCCAACGCAACGCCAUUUUUCAACUGAAACUUAAAAAAAUGUCUUCACUUGCCGGUCUCUGGUUUUACUGCCAGUGCGCCAGUUAUACUUAUAGUAAAUAAAACGCUUGUUUAAGAUAA